AAAUCCGUCGAUUUUUAAAAUCGUGAGGGUUCAAGUCCCUCUAUCCCCAA
rnacentral:tRNA from 1 species